AGAAUGCUAAAACCUUCAGUAACUAUCUAUUUAAUUAAAAUCGAGAUACAAUCAUAAGAUAGAAAGUUAACGAAAAUAUUACGUUUGAUUCUCAAGUUCGCUAUUGGACAAUGGAUACGCGCCAACGGACCAAUCAACGAGCAGCUUUAAAACCGGCUUAAAUAAUAACCGGCAAUUUCGUUUGACUGUCUUUUCGCAUUUAAUCUGCGAUGGAGUAAAUGUGUAUAAGGUGCAGUUAACGUUGGAAUCAAGAUCGCAAAUGACUUAAUAUUAUAGACGUAUAAUAUUAUUGGCAUUUAUAAAAUGUCAAAGAAUUUUGUGUGAAUUAUUCCGAUUUUAAAAUUACGUUUCAAGAUGGGUAAAACGCCAGACAAGAGAUGAUUCUACAUGUAAAAGGGAUUUUUAAGGCAUCUUUGUUGCUAGAAAUUUAUGAUAAAUAAAUUUUGAUCAAGAAAUAAAUAGUGAUCAAGAAGAUUUAUUCCUAGGAAGCCUUUUCAAGAGCCUUUUCAAAAUUUAUUCAUGGGUAAAACAAGUCUUGAUAAAUUUGUUUCUAGUCUGUUAUG